AUUGAACGCUGGCGGCAGGCCUAACACAUGCAAGUCGAGCGAGCGGCGGACGGGUGAGUAAUGUAUGGGGACUGCCUGAUAGAGGGGGAUAACUCCUGGAAACGGUGGCUAAUACCGCAUACUUUCGGUUUACCCAUAUGGGAUUAGCUAGUCGGUGUGGUAAAGGCUCACCUAGGCGACGCUCCCUAGCUGGUCUGAGAGGAUGAUCAGCAACACUGGGACUGAGACACGGCCCAGACUCCUACGGAGGCAGCAGUGGGGAAUAUUGGACAAUGGGCGAAAGCCUGAUGCAGCCAUGCCGCGUGUAUGAAGAAGGCCUUAGGGUUGUAAAGUACUGUCAGCGGGGAGGCGUUACCCACAGAGGAAGCACCGGCUAACUCCGUGCCAGCAGCCGCGGUAAUAC
rnacentral:rRNA from 1 species